GAGCAUGUGGUUUAAUUCGAUGCAACGCGAAGAACCUUACCUACUCUUGACAUCCACAGAAUUCGGCAGAGAUACCUUAGUGCCUUCGGGAACUGUGAGACAGGUGCUGCAUGGCUGUCGUCAGCUCGUGUUGUGAAAUGUUGGGUUAAGUCCCGCAACGAGCGCAACCCUUAUCCUUUGUUGCCAGCGCGUNANGGNGGGAACUCAAAGGAGACUGCCGGUGAUAAACCGGAGGAAGGUGGGGAUGACGUCAAGUCAUCAUGGCCCUUACGAGUAGGGCUACACACGUGCUACAAUGGCGUAUACAAAGAGAAGCGAACUCGCGAGAGCCAGCGGACCUCAUAAAGUACGUCGUAGUCCGGAUCGGAGUCUGCAACUCGACUCCGNGAAGUNGGAAUCGC
rnacentral:rRNA from 1 species